rnacentral:lncRNA from 10 species
ACAUAUCCUCCCUGCCUGGACCUUCAGAACAAUAUAAAACUGAAUGAAGGCUAUGAAAGAAGUCACAGGAGGAUUUUUGCAGAGCUUCCAUCCAGUUCAGAAACAAAGCAAUUCAAUACAUGUCUUCAAGAUUUCUAAAGGCAAUGACUUAUAGAACCAUGGAGAAUUGCCAAGAUUGCUGACUAGAUGUGGCCAGGAGAAAUAUCUCCCACUGAGAGACUGGGACAUUGGAAAGACUAUAACACACCUCUGAGUAGAUCUUCUGAUGGAAGACAUUAAGAGUGGAUGCAGAGAGGAUGCAGAUGCUGGGCUGAAGAGAGAGGAAGCUGGAAACCCUGCAUAGUGUGGCUGAGCCUCAGGACUUGUACCUGGCCCUCAGAGACUCCUGGGGGAAGGGUGAGUUUACAGGUGAGGAGUGGCCUGCUCUCACCAUGGACCCAUUCUGGUAGGUCCCUCAACCUCUAUGGGCAUCUGAGAUGGUAGGAAAAGCUGCUCAGAGAGGUCAUAUGGGCAGGACUCCAGCCUAUGCAGAGCCCAGAGUGGUGGGAG